GACUUGAAAAAUAUUUUGGACAGCUGCUUUUUUGAGUUUGGGUUGUAGUUAAACCCACCAGCAGGGGGAGUCGGGGAGACUAGCAAACCUUGGCAGAGUCCAGCCUCUCUAGGAUCCAGCUACGGAGCUGUUUUUUGUGGACACUUGUGAAGAAGCAAGAAACAGAACAGCAACCACUCACAGCACAGAAUCACAAGUAAAAUCUCAUGGGCACUGACAUUGAAGAAAGUGUUUGCUUUGGAACUUAAGUGCAUGCUUGGAAAGGGUGAGGGACAGAUGAUGUCUCAGGCAGACUGAAGGCUGCAC
rnacentral:lncRNA from 1 species